CCUACGGGUGGCAGCAGUGAGGAAUAUUGGUCAAUGGGCGCGAGCCUGAACCAGCCAAGUCGCGUGAGGGAAGACGGCCCUACGGGUUGUAAACCUCUUUUGCCGGGGAGCAACGGGCGCCACGUGUGGCCCCACUGAGAGUACCCGGAGAAAAAGCAUCGGCUACCGCCGUGCCAGCAGCCGCGGUAAUACGGAGGAUGCGAGCGUUUUCCGGAUUUAUUGGGUUUAAGGGGUGCGUAGGCGGAGCGUUAAGUCAGUGGUAAAAUUGAGGGGCUCAACCCCUGCCCGCCAUUGAAACUGGCGCUCUUGAGUGGAAGAGAAGUAUGCGGAAUGCGUGGUGUAGCGGUGAAAUGCAUAGAUAUCACGCAGAACCCCGAUUGCGAAGGCAGCAUGCCGGCUUCCUACUGACGCUGAAGCACGAAAGCGUGGGGAUCGAACAGGAUUAGAUACCCUUGUAGUC
rnacentral:rRNA from 1 species